rnacentral:rRNA from 1 species
GAUGAACGCUGGCGGCGUGCCUAAUACAUGCAAGUCGAGCGAACAGACGAGGAGCUUGCUCCUCUGACGUUAGCGGCGGACGGGUGAGUAACACGUGGAUAACCUACCUAUAAGACUGGGAUAACUUCGGGAAACCGGAGCUAAUACCGGGUAAUAUAUUGAACCGCAUGGUUCAAUAGUGAAAGACGGUUUUGCUGUCACUUAUAGAUGGAUCCGCGCCGCAUUAGCUAGUUGGUAAGGUAACGGCUUACCAAGGCAACGAUGCGUAGCCGACCUGAGAGGGUGAUCGGCCACACUGGAACUGAGACACGGUCCAGACUCCUACGGGAGGCAGCAGUAGGGAAUCUUCCGCAAAGGGCGAAAGCCUGACGGAGCAACGCCGCGUGAGUGAUGAAGGUCUUCGGAUCGUAAAACUCUGUUAUUAGGGAAGAACAAAUGUGUAGGUAACUAUGCACGUCUUGACGGUACCUAAUCAGAAAGCCACGGCUAACUACGUG